AUUGAACGCUGGCGGCAGGCUUAACACAUGCAAGUCGAGCGGGGGAAGGUAGCUUGCUACCGGACCUAGCGGCGGACGGGUGAGUAAUGCUUAGGAAUCUGCCUAUUAGUGGGGGACAACAUCUCGAAAGGGAUGCUAAUACCGCAUACGUCCUACGGGAGAAAGCAGGGGAUCUUCGGACCUUGCGCUAAUAGAUGAGCCUAAGUCGGAUUAGCUAGUUGGUGGGGUAAAGGCCUACCAAGGCGACGAUCUGUAGCGGGUCUGAGAGGAUGAUCCGCCACACUGGGACCGAGGCACGGCCCAGACUCCUACGGGAGGCAGCAGUGGGGAAUAUUGGACAAUGGGGGGAACCCUGAUCCAGCCAUGCCGCGUGUGUGAAGAAGGCCUAAUGGUCGUAAAGCACUUUAAGCGAGGAGGAGGCUACUCUAGUUAAUACCUAGGGAUAGUGGACGUUACUCGCAGAAUAAGCACCGGCUAACUCUGUGCCAGCCGCCGCGGUAA
rnacentral:rRNA from 1 species